GACGAACGCUGGCGGCGUGCUUAACACAUGCAAGUCGAACGGAAAGGCCCUGCUUUUGUUGGGUGCUCGAGUGGCGAACGGGUGAGUAACACGUGAGUAACCUGCCCUUGACUUUGGGAUAACUUCAGGAAACUGGGGCUAAUACCGGAUAGGAGCUCCUGCUGCAUGGUGGGGGUUGGAAAGUUUCGGCGGUUGGGGAUGGACUCGCGGCUUAUCAGCUUGUUGGUGGGGUAGUGGCUUACCAAGGCUUUGACGGGUAGCCGGCCUGAGAGGGUGACCGGCCACAUUGGGACUGAGAUACGGCCCAGACUCCUACGGGAGGCAGCAGGGGGGAAUAUUGCACAAUGGGCGGAAGCCUGAUGCAGAAACGCCGCGUGCGGGAUGACGGCCUUCGGGUUGUAAACCGCUUUCGCCUGUGACGAAGCGUGAGUGACGGUAAUGGGUAAAGAAGCACCGGCUAACUACGUG
rnacentral:rRNA from 1 species